UUCCUGCAGAUCACUACAAAACCCCUGCAGGCGAAGUUCUUGGCUCAGCUGGACAAUUUAACAGACAAGCUGAUGCAAAAUUUUCAGGGGAGCAAAGGAGCAAAGGGCCAAAAGAUCAAGGAUAUCAUGGCGAUCAGUAGUUUGUAUGAUGACAUCGACAUAAAGAGGGAGCAUACUCUUAAAAGCCUGGUGAUCUACUUUAAUGAAGAUCCAGACCUACUGUUCAAGGAGUAUCUGACCUCCUCCACUGAGGAUGAACGGUUGAGGUCCACUGCAGCAACUGUCAUGGGC